ACAGAGGGGGCAAGCGUUGUUCGGAAUUACUGGGCGUAAAGGGCGCGUAGGCGGCCCGCUAAGUCGAACGUGAAAUCCCUGGGCUCAACCCAGGAACUGCGUCCGAUACUGGUGGGCUCGAAUCCGGGAGAGGGAUGUAGAAUUCCAGGUGUAGCGGUGAAAUGCGUAGAUAUCUGGAGGAACACCGGUGGCGAAGGCGGCAUCCUGGACCGGCAUUGACGCUGAGGCGCGAAAGCCAGGGGAGCAAACCGGA
rnacentral:rRNA from 1 species